UGCAGUCGAGCGGAUGAAGGGAGCUUGCUCCUGGAUUCAGCGGCGGACGGGUGAGUAAUGCCUAGGAAUCUGCCUGGUAGUGGGGGAUAACGUCCGGAAACGGGCGCUAAUACCGCAUACGUCCUGAGGGAGAAAGUGGGGGAUCUUCGGACCUCACGCUAUCAGAUGAGCCUAGGUCGGAUUAGCUAGUUGGUGGGGUAACGGCCUACCAAGGCGACGAUCCGUAACUGGUCUGAGAGGAUGAUCAGUCACACUGGAACUGAGACACGGUCCAGACUCCUACGGGAGGCAGCAGUGGGGAAUAUUGGACAAUGGGCGAAAGCCUGAUCCAGCCAUGCCGCGUGUGUGAAGAAGGUCUUCGGAUUGUAAAGCACUUUAAGUUGGGAGGAAGGGCAGUAAGUUAAUACCUUGCUGUUUUGACGUUACCAACAGAAUAAGCACCGGCUAACUUCGUGCCAGCAGCCGCGGUAAUACGAAGGGUGCAAGCGUUAAUCGGAAUUACUGGGCGUAAAGCGCGCGUAGGUGGUUCAGCAAGUUGGAUGUGAAAUCCCCGGGCUCAACCUGGGAACUGCAUCCAAAACUACUGAGCUAGAGUACGGUAGAGGGUGGUGGAAUUUCCUGUGUAGCGGUGAAAUGCGUAGAUAUAGGAAGGAACACCAGUGGCGAAGGCGACCACCUGGACUGAUACUGACACUGAGGUGCGAAAGCGUGGGGAGCAAACAGGAUU
rnacentral:rRNA from 1 species